rnacentral:lncRNA from 1 species
CAACAAACAAAAACAUCAGCUAAAUGAACUUGAACUCCAAAGUUGAAAGUUCAACCACAAUAGAAACAGAACCAGCAGCAAGAAGUAGUGACUAAUCAACUCAAAUAGCUACGAAAAAAUACAAGGAAAUAUGCAGCAACUGAGCAGAGAUUAAGAACCAACUUUGAGUCUACCUUCUUUUUUUGUGUGUGUGUUUUUCUGUAUUUAAGUUGGAAUUUCCAGAGCGUUUUCCUUUAAAAAAAAAAGAUUAGUGAAGAUGAGGGAAUUUGUGUGUGAUUUCAGCUGUGUAUUUGAGAGGAAUGGUUCUAAAUAUUCAGCCGUGUGCCCUCUUUUCUGUCUAUCCCUAAUGAAAGAAAGAGAAUCCUUUCAUAGAAGCCUUCUAGGGCAACAAAGCCUAAUUUUCCUAAUUCAUUUACACCUCUCCUUAAUUCUAUUUUUGUUUACUUAAACCCACACAAUAUGACCUAUAUCUAUUUUCUGUGCAGAGAGCAAUCCUUAUUCUUUCUAGAGCCUUCCUUCAGUUAUAACAGAAAAAGAUUCCUCAAGCUAAAAACCUAAACUAACCCCUAACAUCCCUCUAUUUACCUUUUCAAUGGUACCAAUAUUGGGCCAUCUGGCAAAAAGGCCCAAUACCCUCUUUGGACCUCUAUACUGAAGGGCCGACGGACCCAAUUCUGAAUCCAAACCAAACAACUUCAACAGAGAUUUAAACAAACAAAACCAUGAAUUUAGACUAAAAUUAGACUUCAAAAAAUCAAAAAGUGACAACACAUUAACAUAUUUGAUUAAUCUUAUUAUUAAAACUAUCGCUGCCUUAGAUAAAAUUUGAUAGCAUAUUAGUAAUUAUAGGAGGAGAAAGAGGGGUAUACCAGUCAGCCCUGCCAAAAAUCCCAUGAACGGAUAAAAUCCCAAUAGCGAGUCGAUUUAAUCCAGCGAACAAAAACUUCGGCCAAUGAUGGGAAUUGUAACAUGAGCAUUAGCCGGAAUUUUUUCAAUGGCUAGUGCUCCAUAUCACAAUCCUCAGCACAUGCCAAGAAGAAGAAAAGGCAGAGGCUCAAGGCAUUUUGGACAAUCAAUGGUCAUUUGCCCGGAAUCCGGCCAACUGUGAGAUAGGUCAUCAUUACAACUAAUCGAUUCCUCACAUUGAAAGUAGUCGAUUUUGGUAGGUCAUUGCCAGAAAAGGGCCAAAUUAGGAGUAAAUCAAAGCAAAAGCAAAAAGUUUGAAUUUUUAUUCCUAGAUCUUUAAUUCGGAGAAAAUGGGUGAUUUUUCG